CUACGUGCCAGCAGCCGCGGUAAUACGUAGGUGGCGAGCGUUGUCCGGAAUCAUUGGGCGUAAAGGGAGCGCAGGCGGGCAUGUAAGUCUUUCUUAAAAGUUCGGGGCUCAACCCCGUGAUGGGAAAGAAACUAUGUGUCUUGAGUACAGGAGAGGAAAGCGGAAUUCCCAGUGUAGCGGUGAAAUGCGUAGACAUUGGGAGGAACACCAGUGGCGAAGGCGGCUUUCUGGACUGCAACUGACGCUGAGGCUCGAAAGCCAGGGGAGCGAACGGGAUUAGAUACCCCGGUAGUCCUGGCCGUAAACGAUGGAUACUAGGUGUGAGAGGUAUCGACCCCUACCGUGCCGGAGUUAACGCAAUAAGUAUCCCACCUGGGGAGUACGCCGGCAACGGUGAAACUCAAAGGAAUUGACGGGGGCCCGCACAAGCGGAGGAACAUGUGGUUUAAUUCGAUGAUACGCGAGGAACCUUACCCGGGCUUGAAUUGCAGACGAUGUAUUUAGAGAUAG
rnacentral:rRNA from 1 species